CGUACCCAUCCCGAACACGACCGUUAAGCCCUCCAGCGCCGAUGGUACUUGGACUGCAGGGUCCUGGGAGAGUAGGACGCCGCCAAGC
rnacentral:rRNA from 1 species